GGUGGAGCGCAGGAUCCUGGGCUGUGUCCCCGGCGCCCUGGAAUCCGGAGCCUGCACUGCUGGAAUCACACUCCCGGGCUGCAGUUCCCU
rnacentral:pre_miRNA from 1 species